UGGAAGCAGUUCGAGUAACACGUGCCAGAUCAAGGAGGACACGACCUGCACCCAAUCCUUGACUUGGUGGGGAAAAGGAUACAUUCUAGGAUGCUGAGUUCAAUGUAUAUGUCAUAUCUUCUUUCAUUCAUUAUCUGAAGUCGUCCAUGAUAUUUUUAAGCAUGGAUUGAGAAAUGAUGGGUUGAUCAUGAGCCAACGAAACUUUGAGCUUCUUAGAGAGUUUCUGUGAAAGCAGAUAGCGAGAUGCAUAUAUCGCGCUGUCCUUGGGAUGAACAUUAAAAGAUUUCAAUGAUAACCUGAAGUAAAACUCAGUUUUGAAUG
rnacentral:misc_RNA from 1 species